rnacentral:rRNA from 1 species
GGCGAGUGAAGCGGCAACAGCUCAAAUUUGAAAUCUGGCGUCUUCGGCGUCCGAGUUGUAAUUUGCAGAGGGCGCUUUGGCAUUGGCAGCGGUCCAAGUUCCUUGGAACAGGACGUCACAGAGGGUGAGAAUCCCGUACGUGGUCGCUAGCCUUUACCGUGUAAAGCCCCUUCGACGAGUCGAGUUGUUUGGGAAUGCAGCUCUAAAUGGGAGGUAAAUUUCUUCUAAAGCUAAAUACUGGCCAGAGACCGAUAGCGCACAAGUAGAGUGAUCGAAAGAUGAAAAGCACUUUGGAAAGAGAGUUAAAAAGCACGUGAAAUUGUUGAAAGGGAAGCGCUUGCAGCCAGACUUGCCUGUAGUUGCUCAUCCGGGUUUCUACCCGGUGCACUCUUCUAUAGGCAGGCCAGCAUCAGUUUGGGCGGUUGGAUAAAGGUCUCUGUCAUGUACCUCCUCUCGGGGAGAACUUAUAGGGGAGACGACAUGCAACCAGCCCGGACUGAGGUCCGCGCAUCUGCUAGGAUGCUGGCGUAAUGGCUGUAAGCGGCCC